CCCAGCGGCCCAGAUUUACUCAAACCAACUUGCACAGGACCCAGAUCCAGGAUGCAGUAGUAGCAUUCAUUGAGGGACACCAGCAGGGUCUGGAAGCCCAACAUCAAGGUGAGGUACAGACAAUCUGCAUGAGUACUACAAGAAUAUAGGGAAGAAACUGUAAUAUCUCAGAUUCACACUGCAAGAAAGGAAGAUACAUAGACAACAUGAAAAAAUAAGGGAGGAAAGUGCCCCAAACAAACCAGGACACUAAUAACAGAACCCAUGGACAGCAAAGUUGAUGAAAUGUCAGACAAGCAGUUCAGAAGGUUCUUAAUUAAAAUGAUCUGUGAAUUAAAGAAUGACCUAAACGAGCAAAUAUAGGCAAAAAUUGAUCACUCCAACAAUGAGAUAAGAUAGCAAAUACAGGUAGUAAAAGAUUACUUCGAGAGAGAGAGACUGAAAAAAAAAACAGGCAGAAACUCUUGAAAUGAAGGAUAUAAUAAACCAAAUAAACUCAAUAGAAAGCAUAACCAACAGACUAGAUCACUUGGAAGAAAGAAUGGUAGACAAUGAAGACAAAGAAUAUAAUCUGGAAAAUAAAGUUGAUCACACAGUGAAGAUAGUAAGAAAUCAUGAACAGAACAUCCGAGAAUUAUGGGACAGCAUCAAAAGACCAAAUCUAAGAGUUAUUGGGAUAAAGGAAGGCACAGAGUCUCAAACCAAAGGAAUGGACAACUUCUUCAAUGAGAUAAUAUCAGAAAAUUUCCCAAGCAUGAAGAAUGAAUUGGAAAUAAAAGAGGCUUACAGGACACCAAAUGUACAAAAUUACAAUAGAUCUAUACCAAGGCACAUUAUAAUGAAAAUGCCUAGAAUAUAGAAUAAGGAUAGAAUCUUAAAAGCUGCAAGAGAGAGGAAUCAGAUCACAUAUAAGAGGAGACCAAUUUAUAUCUCCAGAUUUUUCAACCCAGACCCUCAAAGCCAGGAGAUCGUGGAACAACAUAUACCAAGCUCUGAAAGAAAAUGGAUGCCAACCAAGAAUCUUACAUCCAGCAAAACUAAGCUUUAGAUUUGAUGACGAAAUAAAAAUCUCCCAUGAUAAACAAAAGUUAAAAAGAAUUUACAACUAGAAAGCCUGAACUACAGAACAUCCUCAGUAAAAUAUUCCAAGAAGAGGAAAUGAAAAACAAUGAUGAAAAUCAGCAGAGGGAGGGAUUACACUAAAGGAAAAUCUAAUCAGAGGAGAAACCAAAUCAUGUUAAAUACCAAAAAUAAACAAAAAAUAGCUUGGAAUACAAAUCAUGUCUCAAUAAUAACCCUGAAUGUUAAUGGCCUAAACUCACGAAUCAAAAGACAUAGACUAGCAGAUUGGAUUUAAAAAAGGAAGAAGAAGACCCAACAAUAUGCUGCCUCCAAGAGACUCAUUUCAUAGGAAAAGACAUCCACAGACUGAAGGUGAAGGGUUGGGAAAAAUCAUACCACUCACUUGGACUGCGGAAUCAAACAGGGGUUUCCAUCCUCAUACCAAAUAAAGUAGACUUCAAAAUAAAGUCAGUCAAAAAGGAUAAAGAGGACACUAUGUACUACUCAAGGGAACCAUACAACAACAAGACUUAAAAAUUUUAACUAUAUAUGCCCCCCAAAAUGGAGCAUCUAUGUUCAUCCAACAAACUCUUCUCAAGUUCAAGAGUCAAAUAGACACAAGCAUAUUGGGUGACUGUAACACACCUCUUUUAUCACUAGAUAGGUCUUCCAAACUAAAGCUGAACAAAGAAAGUAUAGAACUCAAUAAUACAAUAAAUAACUUAGACUUAACUGACAUAUAUAGAAUAUUUCAUCCUUCAAUAACAGAAUACACUUUUUUCUCAGCAGCACAUGGAUCCUUCUCUAAAAUAGACCAUGUACUAUGCCACAAAGCAACUCUUAGCAAAAAUAAAAAAGUAGAGAUACUACCCUGCAUUCUAUCAGAUUAUAAUGAAAUGAAAUUAGAAAUCAAUGAUAAUAUAAGAAAUAAAAUCUACUCCAAAACCUGGAGACUAAAUAAUAUGCUACUGAAUGAACAAUGGGUUGCAGAAGACAUCAAGAAGAUUAAAAUUUUUUUACAGGUGAAUGAGAACACACAUACAACAUAUCGAAAUCUCUGGGACACUAUGAAAGCAGUUCUAAGAGGAAACUUCAUUGCAUGGAGUUCAUUCCUUAAAAGAUGAAAAAGUCAACAAAUAAAUGACUUAACAUUACAUCUCAAAGUCCUAGAAAAAUAAGAACAAAUGAACACCAAAAGCAGCAGAAGACAGAAAAUAAUUAAAAUCUGAGCUGAAAUAAAUGAAAUUGAAACAAUUGAAAAAAUUGACAAAACAAAAAGUUGGUUCUUUGAAAAAAUAAAUAAAAUUGACAGCCCCUUAGCCAUGCUAACAAAAAGGAGAGAGAAAACUUAAUCACUAACAUACGUGAUGAAAAAGGGGGAAAAGGUACACUCAUACACUGCUGGUGGGACUGCAAAUUGGUCCAGCCAAUAUGGAAAGCAGUAUGGGGAUUCCUUGGAAAACUUGGAAUGGAAUCACCAGUUGACCCAACUAUCCCUCUCCUUGGUCGGUCUAUACCCAAAGGAUUUAAAAACAGCAUACUACAGGGACACAGCCACAUCGAUGUUUAUAGCAGCACAAUUCACAAUAGCUAAACUGUGGAACCAACCUAGAUGCCCUUCAGUGGAUGAAUGGAUGAAAAAAAUGUGGCAUAUAUACACAAUGGAAUAUUACUCAGCAAUAAAAGAGAAUAAAAUCACAGCAUUUGCAGGUAAAUGGAUGGAGGUAGAGAAGAUAAUGCUAAGUGAAGUUAGCCAAUCCCACAAAAACAAAUGCUGAAUGUUUUCUUUGAUAUAAGGAGGCUGAUUCAUAGUGGGAUAGGGAGAGGGAGCAUGGAAGGAAUAGAUGAACUCUCUAGAUAGGACAAGAGGAGUGGGAGGGGAAGGGGAGCAUGGGGUUAUAAAUGAUGGUGGAAUGUGAUGGAAAUUAUCCAAAGUACAUGUGUGAAGUCACGAAUUGGUUUGAAUAUACUUUGUAUAUAACCAGAGAUAUGA
rnacentral:lncRNA from 1 species